rnacentral:miRNA from 1 species
UUUUGCAUGACCCUGGGAGUAGG